GAUGAAGAACGUAGCGAAAUGCGAUAAGUAAUGUGAAUUGCAGAAUUCAGUGAAUCAUCGAAUUUUUGAACGCACCUUGCACCCUUUGGCAUUCCGAAGGGUAUGCUCGUUUGAGUGUCAUUGUACUCUCACUCUCCCGAUGCUUUUGGAUCGGGAGUGGUGGACUUGGGUGUUGCUGCUUUGCUGUGGCUCGCCUCAAAUGGAGUAGUGCAACUCUUGGUUGGACAUAGUACGGCGUGAUAAGUGUCUUCGCCGGCGCCUCAUUAUAGAGGGUGGCCGAUCGGGAGCUCUGUGCUUCAAACCGUCUUCGGACAACAUCUGACAACUUGACCUCAAAUCGAGUAGGACUACCCGCUGAACUUAAGCAUAUCAAUAAGCGGAGGA
rnacentral:misc_RNA from 1 species